rnacentral:rRNA from 1 species
UGGGGAAUAUUGGACAAUGGGGGGAACCCUGAUCCAGCCAUGCCGCGUGUGUGAAGAAGGCCUUAUGGUUGUAAAGCACUUUAAGCGAGGAGGAGGGUACUGGUAUUAAUACUACCAGCUACUGGACGUUACUCGCAGAAUAAGCACCGGCUAACUCUGUGCCAGCAGCCGCGGUAAUACAGAGGGUGCGAGCGUUAAUCGGAUUUACUGGGCGUAAAGCGUGCGUAGGCGGCUAAUUGAGUCGGAUGUGAAAUCCCCGAGCUUAACUUGGGAAUUGCAUUCGGUACUGGUUAGCUAGAGUGUAGGAGAGGAUGGUAGAAAUCCAGGUGUAGCGGUGAAAUGCGUAGAGAUCUGGAGGAAUACCGAUGGCGAAGGCAGCCAUCUGGCCUAACACUGACGCUGAAGUACGAAAGCAUGGGGAGCAAACAGG